CUCGUAGGCGGCCAACUAAGUCGGAUGUGAAAUCCCCAGGCUUAACCUGGGAACUGCAUCCGAUACUGGAUGGCUUGAAUUCGGGAGAGGGAUGCAGAAUUCCAGGUGUAGCGGUGAAAUGCGUAGAUAUCUGGAGGAAUACCGGUGGCGAAGGCGGCAUCCUGGACCGACAUUGACGCUGAGUGAGCGAAAGCUAGGGGAGCAAACG
rnacentral:rRNA from 1 species